AUAGUACUCCCUCCGUUCAGAAAUACUUGUCGAAGAAAUAGAUGUAUCUAGACGUAUUUUAAUUCUACAUACAUCCAUUUUUAUCUAUUUUUCUACUAGUAUUUCCGGACAGAGGGAGUAAUAA
rfam:Triticum aestivum genome assembly, contig: Triticum_aestivum_CS42_TGACv1_scaffold_407665_5BL